rnacentral:rRNA from 1 species
GAACCUUCGGGUUAGUGGCGGACGGGUGAGUAACGCGUGUUCACUCUGCCCUCAGGAGGAGAAAUAACGGUUGGAAACGACCGCUAAUACCCCAUAUGCCGAGAGGUGAAAAGAAAUUCGCCUGAGGAUGAGCUCGCGUCUGAUUAGCUAGUUGGUGUGGUAAUGGCGCACCAAGGCUUCGAUCAGUAGCUGGUCUGAGAGGAUGAUCAGCCACACUGGGACUGAGACACGGCCCAGACUCCUACGGGAGGCAGCAGUGG